AAUGAACGCUGGCGGCAUGGAUUAGGCAUGCAAGUCGAGCGAGAAGUGUAGCAAUACACGGAAAGCGGCGGAAGGGAGAGUAAUACGUGGGAAUCUGCCCUUAGACCUGGGAUAGCAGCGGGAAACUGCUGGUAAUACCAGAUAAUGUCUAUGGACCAAAGGUGUGAUUCCGUCUAGGGAUGAGCCCACGUCCUAUUAGCUAGUUGGUAGGGUAAUGGCCUACCAAGGCGAUGAUGGGUAGCGGGUGUGAGAGCAUGACCCGCCUCACUGGGACUGAGACACUGCCCAGACACCUACGGGUGGCUGCAGUCGAGAAUCUUCGGCAAUGGGCGCAAGCCUGACCGAGCGAUGCCGCGUGCGGGAUGAAGGCCUUCGGGUUGUAAACCGCUGUCGAGGGGGAGCAACUUCCAUAGAGUUAUCUUUAUGGAUUGAGUGAUCCCUGGAGGAAGGACGGGCUAAGUUCGUGCCAGCCGCCGCGGUAACAC
rnacentral:rRNA from 1 species